rnacentral:rRNA from 1 species
GUGUCAGCAGCCGCGGUAAUACGUAGGGGGCGAACGUUGCUCGGAAUUACUGGGCGUAAAGGGUGUGUAGGUGGCUGAGCAAGUCGAAGAUGAAAUCCCAGGGCUCAACCCUGGAAUUGUCUUUGAUACUGUUCAGCUUGAGGGUGGUCGAGGAAGACGGAAUUCCCGGUGGAGCGGUGAAAUGCGUAGAUAUCGGGAGGAACACCGGAGGCGAAGGCGGUCUCCUGGGCCACUCCUGACACUGAGGCACGAAAGCUAGGGGAGCGAACGGGAUUAGAUACCCCGGUAGUCCACGCCCUAAACGAUGGAUGCUAGGUGUUGGAUCCGAGAGGAUUCAGCGCCGAAGCUAACGCGUUAAGCAUCCCGCCUGGGGACUACGGCCGCAAGGCUGAAACUCAAAGGAAUUGACGGGG